rnacentral:rRNA from 1 species
GACGAACGCUGGCGGCGUGCCUAACACAUGCAAGUCGAACGGAACUGUUUUGAAAGAUUUCUUCGGAAUGAAUUUGAUUUAGUUUAGUGGCGGACGGGUGAGUAACGCGUGAGUAACCUGCCUUCAAGAGGGGAAUAACAUUCUGAAAAGAAUGCUAAUACCGCAUGACAUAUCGGAACCACAUGGUUUUGAUAUCAAAGAUUUUAUCGCUUGAAGAUGGACUCGCGUCCGAUUAGUUAGUUGGUGAGUUAACGGCUCACCAAGACCGCGAUCGGUAGCCGGACUGAGAGGUUGAACGGCCACAUUGGGACUGAGGCACGGCCCAGACUCCUACGGGAGGCAGCAGUGGGGGAUAUUGCGCAAUGGGAGCAACCCUGACGCAGCAACGCCGCGUGAAGGAUGAAGGUUUUCGGAUUGUAAACUUCUUUUAUUAAGGACGAAAAAUGACGGUACUUAAUGAAUAAGCUCCGGCUAACUACGUG